CCUACGGGGGGCUGCAGUGGGGAAUAUUGCACAAUGGGGGAAACCCUGAUGCAGCGACGCCGCGUGAGUGAAGAAGUAAUUCGUUAUGUAAAGCUCUAUCAGCAGGGAAGAAAAUGACGGUACCUGAGUAAGAAGCCCCGGCUAACUACGUGCCAGCAGCCGCGGUAAUACGUAGGGGGCAAGCGUUAUCCGGAUUUACUGGGUGUAAAGGGAGCGUAGACGGCAGUGCAAGUCUGGAGUGAAAGGCGGGGGCGCAACCCCCGGACUGCUCUGGAAACGGUACGGCUGGAGUGAAGGAGAGGUAGGUGGAAUGCGUGGGGGAGCGGUGAAAUGCGGAGAUAUUGGGAGGAACACCAGUGGCGAAGGCGGCUUACUGGACUGUAACUGACGUUGAGGCUCGAAAGCGUGGGGAGCAAACAGGAUUAGAUACCCCUGUAGUC
rnacentral:rRNA from 1 species